UACGUAGGGUGCGAGCGUUAAUCGGAAUUACUGGGCGUAAAGCGUGCGCAGGCGGUCUUGUAAGACGGUUGUGAAAGCCCCGGGCUUAACCUGGGAACUGCAAUUGUGACUGCAAGGCUAGAGUGUGUCAGAGGGGGGUGGAAUUCCACGUGUAGCAGUGAAAUGCGUAGAGAUGUGGAGGAACACCGAUGGCGAAGGCAGCCCCCUGGGAUAACACUGACGCUCAUGCACGAAAGCGUGGGGAGCAAACAGG
rnacentral:rRNA from 1 species